UACGUAGGGGGCAAGCGUUGUCCGGAUUUACUGGGCGUAAAGAGCGCGCAGGCGGUCGGAUCAGUCGAAUGUGAAAGCCCCCGGCUCAACUGGGGAGGGUCAUUCGAUACUGUCCGACUCGAAGGCAGGAGAGGGAAGCGGAAUUCCCGGUGUAGUGGUGAAAUGCGUAGAUAUCGGGAGGAACAUCAGUGGCGAAGGCGGCCUUCUGGUCCAGUACUGACACUCAAGUGCGAAAGCGUGGGGAGCAAACAGG
rnacentral:rRNA from 1 species